GAUGAACGCUGGCGGCGUGCCUAAUACAUGCAAGUCGAGCGAACAGACGAGGAGCUUGCUCCUCUGACGUUAGCGGCGGACGGGUGAGUAACACGUGGAUAACCUACCUAUAAGACUGGGAUAACUUCGGGAAACCGGAGCUAAUACCGGAUAAUAUAUUGAACCGCAUGGUUCAAUAGUGAAAGACGGUUUUGCUGUCACUUAUAGAUGGAUCCGCGCCGCAUUAGCUAGUUGGUAGAGUAAAGGCUUAACAAGGCCACGAUGCGUAGCCGAACUGGGAGGGUGGUCCGACACAACUGAACUUAGAAACGGUCCCGAACACUAAGGGAAGCCAGAGUGGGGAAUGCUCCCGCAUGGGGGAAAGGCUGACCGAGCAACAGCGGGUGGGUGAAGAAGGGUUUCGGAUCGUAAAACUCUGUUAUUAGGGAAGAACAAAUGUGUAAGUAACUAUGCACGUCUUGACGGUACCUAAUCAGAAAGCCACGGCUAACUACGUG
rnacentral:rRNA from 1 species